UGCCAAUAACAGCUUUACCAAAUCCAUCUGAGCUUGAUAACCCAAGAAACGUAAUGUCAUUCCUCUAGGCAUUAAUUGUCCUAUUAUCAGCUCCCUAAGCUACAAUGGAUCUAUAGAUCUUAAACUACAAUUUAAAGAUACUGCCACCACCAUGCAACUGCAAGACUCUUGAAAAUGCCAAGGUGGAGUCUCACUCUGUUGCCAGACUGGAGUGCACUGGCACAAUCUCGACUCACUGCAAUCUCUACCUCCCGGGUUGAAGCAAUUCCCCUGCCUCAGCCUCCCAAGUAGCUGGGACUACAGGAUCUUAGAAAUUGAGUUAUCUGGUUUAUUAAAUACUCCGAUUCAAGAGGCCAAUAUUGACGUAUAAUCUGGUAAAGAGAAGACAAGGACAUUCUACGUGGUUGGUGGGAAGCAGACAGCAGGAGGGAAGGUGGGUAAAAAAACGUGCUGCAGUAUCCAGUGACCACCUGAAGAGCAGAAGUUUUCUUUCUCCCAAUAACUAGCUAAUUCUUGGUGGGAAUGGUCCACGCUUCAACUUCCCUAGUUUUAGAAACAUUUUUCUUCUUUGUGUUUACUGGAUAUGUGUUAUAAAAUGAUUUAUGUCCUCCCACCUCAAGUCAUAGGUUGAAGCUCUAACCCACAAUGUGAUUACAUUUGGAAAUAGGGCCAGUAGAAAGGUAAAUAGGCACAAAUGAGGUCAUGAGGAUGGAGCUCUAAUCCAAUAGGACUGGUGUCCUUAUAAGAAGAGGAGGAGAUUCCAGACCUCUUUCUCUCUCCACUCACACGCAGCGAAAAAGGCUACACAGUGAGAAGGCAGCUGUCUGCAAGCCAGGAAAAGAGGCCUCAGCAGAAACCAACUCUGCCAGCACCCUGAUCUUGAACUUCCAGGCUUCAGAACUGAGUUUGUGACAACAAUGUGAUAAUCAGAGCUACUGAAAAAACAAAAGGUGAAUUACAAUACACUGGGAAUCUCCUGUAUUGGAUCAGAAACAAACGGAGUCAGAUGCUGCAGAGCCCAGUGAUUGUGUGGAUAUAUACAGAUGACUUAAAGAUUUAAAACUACUUGGCUUUAAACAGACGGAGUCUCGUUCUGUCGCCCAGGAUGGAAUUGCAAUGGCGUGAUCUCGGCUUACUGCAACCUCCGCCUCCCGAGUUCAAGCAAUUCUCCUGUCUCCGCCUCCAGAGUAGCUGGGAUUACAGGUGAACGCUGCACACCCAGGGUUUCACCAUGUUGCCCAGGCUGGUCUCAAACUCCUGAGCUCAGGGAAUCCACCAACCUCAGCCUCCCAAAGUGCUAGGAUUACAAGUGUGAGUCACUGUGCCCAGCCAAUUCCAUCUUUUAAAGUUGGCUUGUUUCACUAAAAUAUUGUCACUAAAAUAGCCUGUAUACAUAUAGCUUAUCAUAGGGUUUGCAAAUUUAUAUGUCUAUAAAAGCCCUAUGCAAAAGAAAACAAUAUGAUCGAGACAAUAUGGAGUGUUGGGGACUGUGACAAAAUUGGGAACCAUUGCCCUAUCUUGAAGAACCUUCUCCUGCUUAUCUCCAAUUGACCUGAAAAAUGUAUGUCCAGCAGAGCUGAGUCUUGUACUUUUAUUUUAAAGGGUACCCUGGAAACACAGAUAUUUAUGCCAAAAUCUUCUAAUUUUUUAAAUACUAUCAACUAACUCUAAGUAAUGUUAAAACACCAUGCAGGUCAAAUGUGAUAUAUUUGCAGGCCAGAUCAAGUCAGCAGUUUGGAACUGCUGACAUAUGUUACUGCAGAAUGUGUUCUGUUCUUCCUCUCUGCUACAUGUCAUUCUACUCCCAAUUACCUUCCACCUUACUCUCUCUGCUCCAAACUUUUUUUUUUUUUUUUGAGAUGGAGACUCAGUCUGUCACCCAGGCUGCAGUGUAGUGGUGCGAUCUCGUCUCACUGCAACCUCUGCCUCCUGGAUUCAAGCGAUCCUUGUGCCUCAGUCUCCCGAGUAGCUGGGAUUACAGGUACCUGCCAUAAUGCACAGCUAAUUUUUGUAUUUUUAGUAAAGAUGGGGUUUUGCCAUAUUGGCCAGGCUGGUCUCAAACUCCUGACCUCAAGGGAUCCACCCACCUCGGCCUCCCAAAGUACUGGGAUUACAGGUGUAAGCCACCAUGCCCAGCCCCAAACUUCUUUUAGCUCCUUGAAUACCCCACUCUCUUUGGAACCUCCAAACUCUUGAGAAUGCUGUUUGUUACCUCUGACUGAAACUCUUUUGUCCUCUCUUCUAUCCUUUGAUCUCUCAAUUGUCACUUCUUCCAAAAAGCUUUCUCUGGAAUCCUAAGUCUGGG